rnacentral:rRNA from 1 species
AUUGAACGCUGGCGGCAGGCCUAACACAUGCAAGUCGAGCGGAUGAAGGGAGCUUGCUCCUGGAUUCAGCGGCGGACGGGUGAGUAAUGCCUAUGAAUCUGCCUGGUAGUGGGGGAUAACGUCCGGAGACGGGCGCUAAUACCGCAUACGUCCUGAGGGAGAAAGAGGGGGAUCUUCGGACCUCACGCUAUCAGAGGAGCCUAGGUCGGAUUAGCUAGUUGGUGGGGUAAAGACCUACCAAGGCGACGAUCCGUAACUGGUCUGAGAGGAUGAUCAGUCACACUGGAACUGAGACACGGUCCAGACUCCUACGGGAGGCAGCAGUGGGGAAUAUUGGACAAUGGGCGAAAGCCUGAUCCAGCCAUGCCGCGUGUGUGAAGAAGGUCUUCGGAUUGUAAAGCACUUUAAGUUGGGAGGAAGGGCAGUAAGUUAAUACCUUGCUGUUUUGACGGUACCAACAGAAUAAGCACCGGCUAACUUCGUG